GACGAACGCUGGCGGCGCGCUUAACACAUGCAAGUCGAGCGAAGCGGCGGACGGGUGAGUAACACGUGAGUAACCUGCCUUAGACAUUGGGAUAGCCUCGGGAAACCGGGAUUAAUACCAAAUGGUCUAAGAUGGACUGGCGUCUCAUUAGCUAGUUGGUGAGGUAACGGCCCACCAAGGCGACGAUGGGUAGCCGGCAUGAGAGGGUGGACGGCCACAUUGGAACUGAGCAACAGUCGAAACUCUGCGGAAUGCGGCAGUGGGGAAUAUUGCACAAUGGAGGGAACUCUGAUGCAGCGACGCCGCGUGAACAAAGAAUGCUUUCGAGUCGUAAAGUUCUUUUAUAUGGGAAGCGGUACCAGAAGAAGAAGCCCCGGCUAACUACGUGCCAGCAGCCGCGGUAAUAC
rnacentral:rRNA from 1 species